rnacentral:rRNA from 1 species
GUUCACACUGUCCGUCAUACACAUCAACGCCUGCUGUGGCGAGUUGCCUGGACCUGGCGCGCGGAAGCGAGCCGGGUAAGGGAGGCGAGUCCGGGCAGGUGGAGUUUUCUCAAGGCGUAGCAAGGUAUCGGUUGGUGAACCAUCCGAUGGAUCAAAG